UGUGACAAAGCUGUCACUGUCAAGUGUCAAAUUUUUACCCCUGAGCCCAACAAAUGUACAUAAAGGAAAAGGCUUCUCAGCUUUCCGCUCGAUACAAGACUCGUAUCUUGAAUCGGCCACCCCAAACACAACCGGUUACUCAUUUUGUCCAGCCUCAUUGGAAGGUCCACCCAACAACUACUGAGUUGACCCGGCAAUUCGGCCCAGUCAAAAGACACCACCCACAACGAGUCCCAUAUAAAUAACUUUGGGAUUAGGAACCCCUAAAGUUUGUCAAAGCUGAACAACUCAUCCCACGUGGAACAUCUAAAUCGCAGCCAUGACGUCAAACUACAGAUCGACGGUUAACAUAACACGACGCCUGUAAUAAAAUCAUUGCAGACUUCUCCACGUGGUUGCGUCGAACGCAAGUGUAUUCGCUGUUGCGCUAACUAACUGUAUCACCGGAUGCAGACAAGCCUUUCACCACCUCGAAACACUCAAACCCUUCUAAAACCUCGAUAUAAUAUCAACCGCAACAUACUAUUAAUUUUGGAUUGCCUUUCUUUUUCCUUUAAAAAAAAAAGAUUGCUUUUAUGGUAAAAAGCAGUAAUUUUUAAUCACACUGUAGAAAAAAAUUUUUCUUUAACAUAAGGAAGUGAGUUAAAA
rnacentral:misc_RNA from 1 species